CCUACGGGAGGCAGCAGUGGGGAAUCUUGGGCAAUGGGCGCAAGCCUGAUCCAGCCAUGCCGCGUGAAUGAUGAAGGUCUUAGGAUUGUAAAAUUCUUUCACCGGGGACGAUAAUGACGGUACCCGGAGAAGAAGCCCCGGCUAACUUCGUGCCAGCAGCCGCGGUAAU
rnacentral:rRNA from 1 species